CCUACGGGUGGCUGCAGUCGGGAAUAUUGGGCAAUGGGCGCAAGCCUGACCCAGCGACGCCGCGUGAGGGAUGAAGGCCUUCGGGUCGUAAACCUCUGUCGGGAGGGAAGAAUGGCGGUGAAGCACAUAGUUUCGCUGUCUGACGGUACCUCCAAAGGAAGCGCCGGCUAACUCCGUGCCAGCAGCCGCGGUAAUACGGAGGGCGCAAGCGUUGUGCGGAAUCACGGGGGCGACAGGGCAAGUAGGCGGCGAAAUCCCGAGGCUCAACCUCGGAACGGCAUUCGAAACUGUCCGGGUCGAGUCCCGGAGAGGAUGGCAGAAUUCCCGGUGUAGGGGUGAAAUCCGUAGAUAUCGGGAGGAAUACCAGUGGCGAAGGCGGCCAUCUGGACGGUGACUGACGCUGAGACGCGAAAGCGUGGGGAGCAAACAGGAUUAGAUACCCUAGUAGUC
rnacentral:rRNA from 1 species